GAGGAACCUCCAUGCUAUUUUCCAUAAGGGCUGCACUAAUUUACAUUCCCACUGAUGGUGUAUGAGAGAGUUCCUUUUUUCUCUGCAUCCUUCCCAGCAUUUGUUACUUUUUGUCUUUCCGAUAAUAGCCAUUCUAACUGGGGUGAGACAGUAUAUGGUUGUGGUUUUGAUUUGCAUUUCCCUGAUUAAUGAUGUUGAGUAUUUUGUGAUAUAUCUGCUGGCUACUUGUAAAUCUUCUUUGGGGAAAUGUCUAUUCAGGCCCUUUGCCCAUUUUAAAAUUGGAUGAUGAUUAUUAUUAUUAUUAUUUUUGCUGUUGAGUUGUAUGAGUUCCUUAUGUAUUAUGACUAUUAAUCCCUUGUCAGGUGCAUAGUUUGCAAAUACUUUCUUCCAUUUUGUAGGUUGUCUCUUCACUGUGUUGAUUGUUUCCUUUGUUGUAUGGAAACUUUUUAGUUUGAUGUAAUCCCAUUUGUCUAUUUUUCCUUUUGUUGCCUGUGUUUUUGAAGUAUUUUCCAAAAAAUCUUUGCCUACUCCAGUGUCAUGAAUAAUUUUCCCUAUGUUGUUUUUCUAGUAGUUUCAUAGUUUCAUGUCUUACAUUUCAACUUUUUAUCCAUUUUGAGUUGACUUUUGUAUACGGUCAGAGAUAGGCAUCUAGUUUCAUUGUUCUGCAUAUAAAUAUCUAGUUUUUCCAGCAUCUUUUAUUGAAGAGACUGUCCUUUUCCCAGUAAGUGCUAUUGACACCUUUGUUGAAAAUCAGUUGGCUGUAAAUGCGGAGAUUUAUUUUUGGGCUGUCUACUUUGUUCUAUUAGUGUAUGAGUCUGUUUUUAUGCCAGUACCUUGCUGUUUUGGUUACUAUAGCUUUGUGGUCUCUUUUAAAGUCUUCUAUCUCUUUCCAGCAGUGUAGUCUUGUCAAGCUACUUCAUCUCCCAGUAGCUGUUUCCUCACUGGGAAAAUAAGAGUUGCAGGCAGGAUUAAAUUCAAUAUGAAUUUAAUUUCCUGAAAAAGUCUUCUUAGGACCAUUGCUCCAUAAAUAAUGAAGAUUUUAGAGAAUAAGAAUGUGAUUUAUGGGAGCCAUAUGUUGUUGGGUGCUGCAUCCUUGGCAGUUUUCUAUAUUUUUCCUGUGGGGAGGCUCAACAAGUCAAUGAAUUGUGACAUGCCCUCACCAGAGGCUGCUUCCAUGGUGUGUGUGGUUUGAGACUGAAGAUGCUCAGUCUAGGCCAAAUGUCUGAUCUAGCCAUUUUGCCAUUUCACAUCAGCAAAGGGUGUGUGUGUGUGUGUGUGUGUGUGUGUGUGUGUGUGUACAGUGAGGGCGAUGGGUGCAGAGCUUUUUCGACACUAACCCUUUCUGGCAGGAACCUUCCCACCUCAGUUGACGUGGCUCUUUCUCCUGUCUCUCUACCACUUUAGCUUCUAAUAUUUUUAGCUCUGAGGGCUGACCAUGGCAAUGAGCUUUUUCACCAGGCACAUGACAAGUGUGUGAGACCCUCAGGGGGUCUGAGUUUGUCCUUGGACCAGGCCAUCCUGCGAAGUCUCUGUCUUGUUCCUCCUGAUGGAAUCUGGCCUCACACACUUGGCCCCUGAAGAGGAGCUCGUGUCCAGAAUGUGUGAUGUGGGAGGGGGAUGAUUGUCCCACUCCUCUCCCCAGCAUCAAAUUGAGCCUCUGGGAAACUGUGACUUCAGCAGAAUUCCUUAAAGAAUGUUGGUGCCUCACUUCACGGUUAGGGUAGGGUGGAAGGAAAGAUAUUCUGGCAGCAGGCUCUUGAGUUCCUACUGGGUGGACAUGCUGUCUUAGCUGACAAGGGUAAUUAUUGUUCCCCAGGCCAUUGUGAUGGAGUUGAGAAUAGCAAACCUAGAUGAAAUGACUUGAGAUGCUUAGAAAGGAAUUUAGCAACAAGUGGAGAGUAAUAUAGUGAAGAUCAAGUGCUGAGUGUCUACCAGGAAAGAACCCAUCCAAGUCAGUUCCAAAUCCCUUUGCAGAGACUUCCUGAUUAGGUGACUUUUGAAAGGGUUUUGGAGAAACUUUUCUUCUACGGAAGUUCCUGGAGCUUUGACUCCAGGCCACAGCCAACACAUCCUGGUGCUGCAGGAUUACAAAAAUCACCCUCAAGGAGGAAACUGUAGACCUGGAUUUUUGGAAAAGAAGAGGUAGGCUGGUGUGAUUCUCUAUGACAUGCAAGUUGCACCCUGGAUUGCCUUUCUGUUCGUGAGCACUUCAUAUUUGCUGGCAAUUGGGCAACCAGUGCCAUCACCUCAUUCACUCCUGACAACAACUCAUGUAUACAUGGGUGCCACAGCCAAGCAAGGGUGGGCAAGCUGCCCAGAGUUAAGAGCAGAAUAGGGGUCCCGGUCCAGGGUGGUCUGACCACAGAAGCCCUGCUCCUUACACUGCAUUUGUUUCCUGCCUUGUAAGAAAUGACACAGCCCCAUCUAGGACAUGAAUGAGGAUCUGUUAGGCACCAGGCACCAUUCAGAGCCCUUGGUCAACAUUUUCCCACACAGUCGUUUGGGAAACCUAGUACAGUCCACUAGGUCGGUGCUGUUAUUGGCCUGGCUGUCAAGGAACAACAGGUAUAAAUAUAAAGCUAAUGGUAAGCAAGGUCCCUCCCGGUGCAGUGUGCCUCUCAGUCAGCUGCAUGCUCAGCCACGUUACCCAAGUUAUAUCCUGCUUGGAUGCCCAGAAAGGCUUGAUAAAAACAUGAUGUGUAGAGUCUGAGUGAAGUGUGUAUGUGAGUAUAUGUGUGCGCAUGUAUGUAUGUGAGUAUAUGUGUGCGCAUGUAUGUAUGUGCAUGUGUGUGCAUGUAUGUGUGUGCGCAUGUAUGUAUGUGAGUAUAUGUGUGCGCAUGUAUGUAUGUGAGUAUGUGUGCACAUGUAUGUAUGUGAGUAUAUGUGUGCGCAUGUAUGCAUGUGCAUGUGUGCGCAUGUAUGUAUGUGAGUAUAUGUGUGUGCAUGUAUGUAUGUGAGUAUAUGUGUGCGCAUGUAUGUAUGUGAGUAUAUGCGUGCGCAUGUAUGUAUGUGCAUGUGUGCUUACAUUUGCAUCACAUAUGUAUGUGUCUGUGUGCACAUAUGCACGUGUAUACAUGUGCCUGUGUAUGUGCACAUAAACAGUGUCUUUGAGGGCUUGGCAAUCUGUGUUGAUGUUAUUGAAGCUCUGCACCUGACUUCUGGUCACUUUUCUGUUACUGACCAGCUAAAUAACUUUGAGUAAGUCAUUGAACUUAUUUGGACACUAGUUCCAUCAACUGUUAGAUAUGAGGAUGGGAAUGGAUUGUCUCAAAGAUCCUUUUGAGUUCAAAAAGUCUAUGAUACCAGUGAGAAUGUUCCAAAGCCUUAAUGACACCUCACUGAAUGCAGCUUAAAAUGGCUGCAAGCUGACCAGACGAUUGCAUUCUCCAAGGUGAGCUGCCCUUCAUACCUCAUGCCCUUGAAUAAUGCAGCGUAAGUGUGUUUAUUGUGCCAGCUCUUCUUGUAGUUUUAUUCUAAUCCCUCGUCUCAGGCAACAUUUGUUUUGGCUGCAGUUCGAUACUUCCUCCUUCAGAGCUAUGCUUGGUUUUACCUCUAAUUCUGUGGCCCUCAGGGGCUGGUUGUACUGAUAAACUUUUACAAGUAAAAGGAGCUGUGGAGAUGACCUCCAGCUGGGGCUGAAGGCCUAUACAGCAGCACCUUCUUGCUGAAGCUAAGUGAUCCUCUUGGGGAGGAGGGUUGGGGGUCCAGGGCCCCUGAAGUCAGGAUUCCCCAGUGAGUUGGUCAAUGUGGACUUAGAUCUUGUUGAAAUAUCCAGAAGUAUUUCUAAGUAGAAUAUUUUUGAUCACAGAAACAAGGUAAAUAUUUUUGUCUUCCUUCAGUGGAGGACUUUGGAGCUCUCAGGUGGCUGCUCUCCAUCCCAGGCCUGGCUGUAGGAGGCUACCUGGGUGGGGUGCAGGCCCAUGCCUGGGGUCCUGGCUCCAGAGGCACCACAUGCCACUCAGUGAGGAUAAGAAUCCAUUCUGCAGCUUCUUUCAGCCCCACAUCAAUAAAUGGAGACAGUGGGAAGGGAGCUGUGCUACUUUGAAGGAUUUGGGGGCAGACUAAGAAGAAAACACAUGUGAAAGUGCUUUGUAAGGAUGAGUGCAUGGCGGGGCGACGAGGGGCGUUGGAGGCACAUGCAGCUGGGUAGGAGUUGCACUUUGGUCAUUGGCCAGUUAUGUGGCUUUGGGAACUGUUCAGACUUCUGGAUCUUGGCUUCCUUUUUUGUUAAGUAGGUGAUGAUAGGGAUCUCAUUGGGCUGCUGUGAGGAUGAGGUGUGUUUACAGUGCUUGGCAAAGAGUGGGGCUCCAUGCACAUAACUCCAUUUCCUCUACAUCUACAUUGCUCUGCAAACGAAGGGUGCUAUGACAAUAAACCCACCCCAAGGCCAAAGGAGGGGCGUGCUGGGGGUGGAGAGGGAUGGCUGGGAACUAACUAGCCGGCAUCAGCAAAGGAGGGAUUGUUUUGGUCUUUGUAGGAAAUUAGGAGGAUUGCCUUUCUCAUCUAUUACUUCCAAUGAGUUCUGAUGUUCUGGGGAAUCUUCUCUGAAUGAAUCCUGGUAUUGCUUCAUUUAUACUAUAACUCUGUAGUAUAACUAUAUCCUGUGUAAUCCAAGCCAAAGAUAGAGGGUUUGGGGACGACAGAUAUUUCAACAAUAGUCACUGAGGCAAGGAAUUGUGGAUUCUAGGAUGAGGCAGCAGGUGAAGGGCUUUGGUGCCCACACAGAGGAGAAGAGGGCAACUGGAGCGAGGAAAUGUCUUGCUGUCCUGCCGUUUAGCUCUGGAAGUGUCUCUUGGGACAAUCUUGGAGAAACGUCAACUGAAGUGCUAGUUUAGUAGCAGGGUAGCUGAGUCCUAGCAGUGUUUCGCAUUUCUCCAGUGAAAGCCCUAGAGGACUUGGAUGUCCCCAUCUCUAAAGACACCGGUGGCGGCAGAGGCCCAGCUUCUAAACACUCAGGGUCACACAGGCAUUGGUGCUUGGUAAACGUUUUCUUAUAUAAUUUCAAAGCCAUCUGUGACAUGGCUGUAUCAUCCCCAUUCUACUAGUGAGAAAACCAAUGCCAGGGGAUGGAAAAACAACUUCCUUAUGGUCACACUGCCAGUCAGUGCCUGGUGGGACCCAAGCUGGGCCCCAAUCCCCCAUGUCCCCCUUGGCACCUGUCCUGCUUUAGGGAAGAUGGUCUGUGGUCAAAGCUUAAUCUUUGCUUUGAUAAAGGAUUAAUUCAAAUUUUGGAAUGAAAAGAAGAGAUUUUGAAGCCCUAAAACUGUACUGUGUGACAAAACUCCUGUUCUUGGGAUAUGGUGGCAGAAGUAAGGGAAAGUGUCAGAAAAAGUCCCGCAAGGUGAGAAAAACUGAAAAAGAGACCCCUUUCCUAUAGAGGCUCACGAAGGGGAAAUUGCAACUGUGCGACCCUGUCUGCUAGCUUUCUCUGUCACUUCAUCCCCCAUUCCUGUUGCUGUGUGCACUUUUAUCCAACCCUCUUAAUGUCCAUGGCUGCGCUACCAGCAAAAUCUAACCCCAUCUGCUUGGCUAAGCUUCUUGCGCUCACCUAUACCUGAGGAGUACGACAUCAGGCUUCAGGGCUUAUUGAAGUCAUUACUCACAUCAUUGCACUAAUCACAAACAGAAGUGAAAGUUGUAAAUUGUAUAUAAUUACAUUUCAUAGAGAAAAAAGUAGAUUUAAAAAUGGCAAUUAAUAUUCUUAAUAGCCAAAAGUUAUUGCUAAUUAAUAAGAAAAACAUAAGCACUCCAAUUGAAAAAAAAUGAGCAAAGGUCAUAAAGACAUAAAACUCGCCUGUGGAAACAUACGUAGAGGAAACACAGAAUUAGUGAGUGUGUGUAUGGAAAUAAAUGGAAGGAUAAUGCUUGCUACCCAGUGUGGGCUUUGGGGGUAGAUCUACCUGGACUGAGUUCUGGAUUCACUAUUUACUAGCUCCAUGACCUUCAGCAAAGUAACCUCUCUAAGCCUUUGUUUUUAUCUGUAAAAUAGGGAUACUUAUUUUCCCUGCCUUGAGGGGUUAUUGUGAGGAUAAAAGAAAAUAAUUCUGUAAAGGGCUUAGUAAAGUGCCUGGUGCAGAGAAAUUUUUCAGUGCAGAUUAGCAAUUGUCACUGCUAGUAGUAUAUUUGCAUUGAUAACAAUUAGUAAUUUAACAUCUCACUGAAAUCAAAGAAAUGCAAUUAAAACAACAAAUACAUAUUAUUUGUUACUUAUCAGAUUGGAAAACAGGUGAAAAGAUUGACAGUAACCACUGUUGGUUAGAUGUGGAGAGAUGGGUUCUCUUGUGCAAUUCUGGGAUGGUAGGACCUGAUGCCCCAUUUCUGCAGGGCAAUUUGGCAAUAUACAUUAACGUUGAACAUUCUGAUAGUUUUUGACCCAGUCAUUCUUCUCUCAGAAACUUAUUCCUGGGAGAUAACUGAACAAAUGCACAAUAAUGAAUAUAUAAGAAUGUUUAUCCUGGCAUUUUUUUUUAUAGAAACAAAAAUUCAGAAGCAACUUAAACAUCCUUCAGUGAGAUUGACUAAUAAGUCCUGCUUCAUUUUUAUGACAGAAUGCUACUACUAAUAGCAGUGUUCUAGAUUUUCAUCCACCAUCAUGGAUAAAGCUCUCCGUCAUGUGGAUGGGUAAGAAAACAUGGAGUGGAAAAUGACAUCUAUACUGUGCCCAUGUAUGUGUAUCAAUCUUUUAGUUUAGUAAAAGACACAAGUUUGGGAAAAUGUGCUUUAAAUUGCUUACAUUGUCCUCUUCUUGGGAUCUAAUUUCGUUAUUUGAUUUUUAUGAGUGUCUGUUAUCUUUUUACUCAGAAAAAAAAGGAAAAGGAAAGUUUUUUUUUUUUUGUCCUUUAGCAGCAAAACCUUACACAAAGAUCUACACGUUGAUUUCGCUCCUAUGAACUGACUUGGAGUUAUGUUCCAAGAACGCAUCACCACAGCUUGCUUCCUUUUCUUUCUUCCUUGUUUGUUACUCAGAAGUGUUUCUUCAUUCUUUAGUCUAUGAUUCAUGCAAGAAGACAGAACCAAUGUUUUGCAAGACCUUCCCAUGAAGUAGAAAGAACAGUAGUGUUCACUCCAUAAGAGGCGUGCGCUACCACUUGCCUUGCCUCAUGGGCAAUGAGGAAGUUGCAUGGGUUUCCUACGGCUCUGCAGGGGUGGAGUGAGCCAGAAAGAACUGGUCAGCCCUAGACAUUCAGGUGCUAUCAAAUACCAGCCCUAGGGUCAAGAACACUUAAAAACAAAACAAACUUGAAACUUCCUUUGCUUGUGUUGCUUAGAAUCACUGCGGUAGGAGGAUUCCUGAGGCAUUACCUGGAUAGUCUCAUCUGGCUGGACAUGCAGGAGAACUGGGAGACUGCCGAGACUGCCACGUGGGGUGACUUGAGGGAUCUUUGACACUCUCUGUCUUAAUCUGUUUUGUGUUGCUAUAACAGAAUACACAGACUAAGUAAUUUAUAAAGAAAGGAAAUUUACUUCUCACAGUUUUGGAGGCUGAGAAGUCCAAGACUGAGGGGCUGGCAUCUGACGAGGGCCUUCUUGCUGCUUCAUUCCACGGCAAAAUGGCAAAGAGAAGAUGAGAAGAAAGGCUCAAAGGGACGGUGGGACUUGACUGAGGACCCAGCACCUCCUGGACCUGAAUCAAGGCCCUCUGUCCCGCUGCUUUUGUUGUUGUUUACCCUGCAACUUCACAGCCCUUCAGAAGGCCCUGGACAUCAUGUGCAAGCUCCGUGGAUGGCCUGAGAUUCAUCCUUCCAAGUUGUUUUCUGACUGAGAGGCAACAUUUUAAAUUGUGAUCCCCCCUUACCCCACCACACACACUGAAACAAAAGUUUCAAGAAGUCAUUACCACACAAUGACUCAGAUAUGUUCUAGUCUAGUCUGUCUAUUCCAUUCCAUUCCAGUCUCUUUCCAAACGAAAAUAAAAGGAAGGAAAUGCUGCAUGCGACUUGGUAAGUUAAUUUCAGGACACCUUGGGACUGCUUCCUGCUGCAUGAGGCAUCAGCACACAGCAGGGGAUAUUUUGCAUUCCUGUGUGCACCGUGGGUUAGACAGGCUGCUUGGCCCUAAGUGGAGAAUGGAACUCCAGUAGAAAGGCUGAGAUGCACUGCAAGUAACCACUGCAGAAAGGAGAGGAUGCCCACAGGCAGGCUGAAGUGGACCCGUGUGGAAGGAACACUUCAAGACCACUGGCCAAGAGACUUCCUUCAUUUUUAUCCCUUCCUGUUUUUCGCCUGUGCUGAGGAUUCACCACCAGUGUGGGGAGCCUCUGACUGUAAAAGGAAAGCUGACUCUGGCUCCUUCGUGUUUUCUGUUAAGUUGGGGCCUAAGUUUUUCUGCCAGCCUUUGCGGAGGAAAUGCAGCUUCCCUGGCACACUGCCCGGUCAAGGGACGUUGAAUCCAUUGCAAUCAGCAGUUGAAGAUCCACACUACAGGCCAUGUUCUUAAAAUAAGUGGCUCCAGGACUUCCAAGAGGCAGAAGGGGCUUCAGCUGGCCAUGGGCAGGAUCCAAGUGGAGCUUCAUCCCUGCAGAGCAAUGCCUGGCUCUCAGCGGAGGCAGUCUGGAGCAGGGCUUCUACCCUUUUCAGCUCAUAGAUUACUUUGGAAUCUGAUGAACACUGGGAGCCUUCUCCUUAGAAGAACAUACAUAUGCACGAGAAUGAGACAAUUACAUAACAUUCCUUGGGUUUCACAGAUGCUGAAGCCAAUGACUUGCUUGAAGCCUGGAAGAGGGUGUUGACCUGGAGAAUCCUAAAGGCCAAAAUUUAGAGAAAAUGGUGCCAGUAAAUGAAUUCACAAGGAGAAAUGCUUCCUUGCCAACUCACUUCUCCAGAUUAUUGAGUGCAUCUAUCUGUUUGCUUUUGGCUUCACGCAAUUGGCCCUCUUCAGUUCCGUACUCUUUCCUAAAUACCUUGCAAGUUUUCCUCUUCUCUCAUGCCAUUUAUAAUAUGCUGACGCCUGAUUAGAGGAAGGAAGGACUCAGCUGCACUUGCACUGGGGGAAGGGCCACUUACAGGAAGCCUACCUGGGGCUGAGCUGGGUCUCACUGCCUCCUAGACCUAAGGGCCCCAGCUUUUCCCUCAUCUCUUGUUGCAGCCACCACUUGUUCUAGAUCUGCAUCCAUAUCUGUAAAAUGGGGGUGAUAAUACCUUCCCAUAAAGUCACUGUGAGGAUUAAAUGUCCGGCACAAUA